AUUGAACGCUGGCGGCAGGCCUAACACAUGCAAGUCGAGCGAGCGACGGACGGUUGAGUAAUGUCUGGGAAACUGCCUGAUGGAGAGGGAUACCUACUGGAAACGGUAGCUAAUACCGCAUACAAUCAGAUUUGCCCCGCUGUGAUUAGCUCGUGGGUGGGGUAACGGCUCACCUAGGCGAGGAUCCCUAGCUGGUCUGAGAGGAUGACAAGCCACACUGGAACUGAGACACGGUCCAGACUCCUACGGGAGGAAGCAGUGGGGAAUAUUGCACAAUGGGCGCAAGCCUGAUGCAGCCAUGCCGCGUGUGUGAAGAAGGCCUUCGGGUUGUAAAGCACUUUCAGCGGGGAGGCGUUACCCGCAGAAGAAGCACCGGCUAACUCCGUGCCAGCAGCCGCGGUAAUAC
rnacentral:rRNA from 1 species